GAGUUCCCGUACGAUCACCGAGUUAACCAACGCCGAGCCUGGUCAGUACUUAGAUGGGUAACCGCUUGGGAAUACCAGGUGCUU